AUGAGUUAUGGGGGAGAUGUUAUGAAUAUAAAUGAAAUUACAACAAAUAGCAUAAAGCUGUGAAUAACCAGCAUUCAGAAAGCACUGCAGACCAGCAGUGCACAGAAAGCAGUGUUCAGAAAGGCAGAGGAGGGCAGAAGAGGGAGAAAGUAUUUAGGAUUGGAUGACCAGGGUAAGUCUUGUCAAAAGAGGUGGGCUUUGGUAUGGGUCUUGAAGGACCAAUGAGAUUUAAACAGCAAGAAGGAAGGAGGAAGAGGAGUCCCUAACAAUGAGAACAGAGUGAACUAAGGCAGAGAAAGAGUGUGAAAGUCCAAGGUGUGCUGGGGACUCUGAAGGGACUGGAGCAGAAAGUUCAUGUAAGGCCUUAGUGUGAGAUAGGUUUACAAAGGCAGACUAAGGCCAGAUUUUGACAGAGCCUGUAUUUCAAGUUAAAUAGUCCCAGUUACAGGCACCAAACCAUCAUUUUUUGGCUUCUCAGGAGGUCUGGGUGACCUUUGGACAGAUUAAUCUUAUAAUUAUAGCCAGGCUACUCUGCAAGGAAAGGCUGGAGUCAGGGAGACCAGUUAGUAGAACUAUGAAAGUCAGGAACAAAGAAUUGUUGACCAGGAGCUAACUCUGUCAUAAAGAAAGGGAUCAUGAAUUCCCAGGAUUGAAGAUAAAAGAGCACAAAGAAGCUCCUACCAGCUAGGAGAGGAAGUAGAAAAGUCUUCUGACUCCAGAAAAAGGUAAAGAAGAAAAUGAGAGUGAGAGGCAGGUAAUGGCAGAAAUAAGACGAUUAAAAUAUUUGAAAAUCACCGAAUUGAGAACAUCAUUAUGUUGUCGUGUUCAAGGACCAAUGCCAAAUGGAAAGUCAGAAACUAGAGCUGAAGAGCUAUCCAUCUUUCAAGUUGCUUGAUGUUUUUGGAAUCGGUGGAGAGUUCAACAUCUGGCUUUCCCCCAGUUAAGUAUCUCUCUUUUCUGUUUUGGAACUUAAUGGAUGAGCUAAAUAGAAAGGAGAAAAAUACAGAA
rnacentral:lncRNA from 1 species